rnacentral:rRNA from 1 species
CCUACGGGAGGCAGCAGUGGGGAAUCUUGUGCAAUGGGCGAAAGCCUGACACAGCAACGCCGCGUGCGGGAAGAAGGCCUUCGGGUCGUAAACCGCUUUCAGCAGGAACGAAAAUGACGGUACCUGCAGAAGAAGGUGCGGCCAACUACGUGCCAGCAGCCGCGGUGACACGUAGGCACCAAGCGUUGUCCGGAUUUAUUGGGCGUAAAGAGCUCGUAGGCGGUUCAGCAAGUCGGGUGUGAAAACUCUGGGCUUAACCCAGAGCCUGCACCCGAAACUGCUGUGACUAGAGUUCGGUAGGGGAGCGGGGAAUUCCUGGUGUAGCGGUGAAAUGCGCAGAUAUCAGGAGGAACACCGGUGGCGAAGGCGCCGCUCUGGGCCGAAACUGACGCUGAGGAGCGAAAGCGUGGGUAGCAAACAGGAUUAGAUACCCUGGUAGUCCACGCCGUAAACGUUGGGCACUAGGUGUGGGUCUCUAACCAACGGGAUCCGCGCCGUCGCUAACGCAUUAAGUGCCCCGCCUGGGGAGUACGGUCGCAAGACUAAAACUCAAAGGAAUUGACGG